rnacentral:misc_RNA from 1 species
UUGUGGAGGAGGACGCCGAAGGUGGGGCUAAUGACUGGGGUGAAGUCGUAACAAGGUAGCCGUACCGGAAGGUGCGGCUGGAUCACCUCCUAACAGGGAGACAACAAAAUGUUUAAUAUUAUUAUUUUGUCACCUUAGGUCGAUCGGUAUCUCACGUUCUUAAUUUAUUAAGAAUUUCAUUUCCUAAGUUUUUCUAGGUCACACCCAUUAUUUUUCCUGGGCCAUUAGCUCAGGUGGUUAGAGCGCACCCCUGAUAAGGGUGAGGUCCCUGGUUCAAGUCCAGGAUGGCCCAUAUCUCUAUGUUGGGGGUAUAGCUCAGUUGGUAGAGCGCCUGCUUUGCAAGCAGGAUGUCAGCGGUUCGAGUCCGCUUACCUCCACUGAUUACCACCUCUUCCAUAACCGGUAGAAAGGAAAUGUUUUGAGUUGUGAUAAUUAUUCUGAACGAAUCUAGCUUCCUAAUGAAAUCAUUAAGAUGCUGGACUCAUUGAAUUAAUUUCGUUGUUUUCAGAGAACCUUGACAACUGCAUAGAUUAUUUUUAAAGACAAUAAGCAUUUUUAAUGAUGCAGAUUUAUUAUUUGUGCGAAUGCAUUAAUAACAAUUCUAUUAAGCUGAUGCUUCAAUUGUUUAAGUUAUUGGUCAAGCUACAA